GACGAACGCUGACGGCGUGCUUAUCACAUGCAAGUCGAACGGUGAAGCGCCUUCCUUUUUGGUGGGUGUGGAUGAGUGGCGAACGGGUGAGUAACACGUGAGUAACCUGCCCCCUUCUUCUGGAUAACCGCAUGAAAGUGUGGCUAAUACGGGAUAUUCUGGGUCUGUCGCAUGAUGGGUCUGGGAAAGAUAUUGUUUCGGUGGGGGAUGGGCUCGCGGCCUAUCAGCUUGUUGGUGGGGUGAUGGCCUACCAAGGCGGUGACGGGUAGCCGGCCUGAGAGGGUGGACGGUCACACUGGGACUGAGACACGGCCCAGACUCCUACGAGAGGCAGCAGUGGGGAAUAUUGCACAAUGGGCGCAAGCCUGAUGCAGCGACGCCGCGUGAGGGAUGGAGGCCUUCGGGUUGUGAACCUCUUUCGCCAGUGAAGCGGGCCUGCCUCGUUUGUGGGUGGGUUGACGGUAGCUGGAGAAGAAGCGCCGGCUAACUACGUG
rnacentral:rRNA from 1 species